AACAGCAAGCGCCAUAUGGUCACCCUCCCUGACUGCGUUACGGUUUGUGUGAAAUCUACUGAUGCCCUGGCACAGUAUCUGAAAUAUGUGCGGUGUCUCCACAACAAAUGGUGUGGUGCAUUGAAAAUAUCAUAGCAAUGUAACAGGUUCAAGUAUGAUGGUGGAGAAGUGAGGGAUCUGGCCAAAAAGCCGUCCGUUUACAAGAAUGUACAUCUGGUAUUGCAGAUAUUUGGACAACUGAAGGCCAGAUUGGAUGGCAUAUGUUAAAGCCAGCUGUAUGCCCGCAAGGAACAGUAAAACGUACACUUUCCAGCCAUCCUGUGACACUCGAUCAACCAGACGGCUUCCACAUCUAUCCAGUGGGCAUGUGAGUUGACACUACGGUGGCCGCUCAACCAUGACACAAUUGAUCAAUCACAGCUAGAGUUCAGCCGAUGUUCACGAAACAGAGAAAGGGAAUGGUCUACUUUAGAGGUCACGUUGCCUACCAUUUUAAGCAAAC